CCCUCGCCUCUAGUUGCCAGCAUUCGGUUGGGCGACUCUAGAGGGACUGCCGGCGACAAGUCGGAGGAAGGUGGGGAUGACGUCAAAUCAUCAUGCCCCUUAUGACCUGGGCUACACACGUGCUACAAUGGGCGGUACAAAGGGCUGCGAACCCGCGAGGGGGAGCGAAUCCCAAAAAGCCGCUCUCAGUUCGGAUUGCAGGCUGCAACUCGCCUGCAUGAAGCCGGAAUCGCUAGUAAUCGCGGAUCAGCAUGCCGCGGUGAAUACGUUCCCGGGCCUU
rnacentral:rRNA from 1 species